rnacentral:misc_RNA from 1 species
GAAGUGCGAUAAGCAAUGCGAAUUGCAGAACCGUGAGUCAUCAGAUUUUUGAACGCAACUGGCGCUAGGUGGUUAUCCACCUAGCAUGCUUGUUUCAGUGUCUUUUUAUUUCCUAACCGAAAUCAUAAUGCGAGAGAUACCCUUCUCUUGUUAAGCAUGAAAGCACUCUGCGCUCUGCGAGCGGCUUCGGUCGCACUCAAUGCAGCAGUCACAUUGUUUACAGUGUGAACUCAUUGAGAGUAGAGGCAGUGCGGUGUAACAACUGCCAGUGCUUAGACACUCAAACUUUUCUUGUAUCUGAAAUCAAGCAGGAUCACCCGCUGAACUUAA